UCAUCAUUUCCUGGACAUAUCUUAUAAUUCUCUAACUCAGCUCAUAUAGUCUUCUCUGCAUUUCCACAUUUCUAUCAAAAGGGGUCCAUUGGGAGGAAAUG